GGGCGCAUAGCUCAGUUGGUUUAGAGCGCGUCCCUGAUAAGGACGAGGUCCGAAGUUCGAAUCUUCGUGCGCCCA
rnacentral:tRNA from 1 species